CUACGGGGGGCAGCAGUAGGGAAUAUUGCGCAAUGGGGGAAACCCUGACGCAGCGACACCGCGUGAGUGAUGAAGGCCUUUGGGUUGUAAAGCUCUGUUCUAUAGGAAGAAACAAAUGACGGUACUAUAGAAGAAAGGACCGGCUAACUUCGUGCCAGCAGCCGCGGUAAUACGAGGGGUCCAAGCGUUGCUCGGAAUCAUUGGGCGUAAAGCGGGUGUAGGCGGUUUAGUAAGUCAGAAGUGAAAGCCCAGGGCUUAACCUUGGAAGUGCUUUUGAUACUGCUAAACUUGAGUAUGGGAGAGGAUAGUAGAAUUCCUGGUGUAGUGAUGAAAUACGUAGAUAUCAGGAGGAAUUCCGGAGGCGAAGGCGGCUAUCUGGCCCAAUACUGACGCUCAGACCCGAAAGCGUGGGGAGCAAACAGGAUUAGAUACCCCUGUAGUC
rnacentral:rRNA from 1 species